CGCUCUGGUGGCCUAGUGGUUAGAGCGUCUGCCUCGGAUGCAGGAGGUUGUGGGUUCGAUUCGCGGCCGAGUCA